rnacentral:rRNA from 1 species
AUUGAACGCUGGCGGCAGGCCUAACACAUGCAAGUCGAACGGUAGCACAGAGAGCUUGCUCUCGGGUGACGAGUGGCGGACGGGUGAGUAAUGUCUGGGAAACUGCCUGAUGGAGGGGGAUAACUACUGGAAACGGUAGCUAAUACCGCAUAACGUCGCAAGACCAAAGAGGGGGACCUUCGGGCCUCUUGCCAUCAGAUGUGCCCAGAUGGGAUUAGCUAGUAGGUGGGGUAACGGCUCACCUAGGCGACGAUCCCUAGCUGGUCUGAGAGGAUGACCAGCCACACUGGAACUGAGACACGGUCCAGACUCCUACGGGAGGCAGCAGUGGGGAAUAUUGCACAAUGGGCGCAAGCCUGAUGCAGCCAUGCCGCGUGUAUGAAGAAGGCCUUCGGGUUGUAAAGUACUUUCAGCGGGGAGGAAGGGAGUAGGGUUAAUAACCUUAUUCAUUGACGUUACCCGCAGAAGAAGCACCGGCUAACUCCGUGCCAGCCGCCGCCGUAAAAC